UUUUUGGUUUUGAAUAAAUAUUUAGUUGUUUUUAACUUUACACAUGAGAGUUUAAGCUUUCUUACAGUUGGUUUUUUAUUCUUAAAGAAAGAAAAUAAUUAAGUGUAGCUUCAGUGAAAAAUAUUAUUUAAAAUAGUGAAAACUUGAAAUAGGUAUAAAGAAGAGAAUUGGCCUAUUCUGUGCCAGCUGCUGCGGUUAUACAGGUAAUUCAAAUUAAAGUUUUUUGGUAUAAAAAGCAGUAAAAAAUAAUUUAAGGGCUAAAUUUUAGUUUUUAAAUAAAAUUUAAAUUUCUUUUCUUUUUUCUUUUCUCUCUCUUAUUUUUUUAAAACUGCUAUAAUCUAGAAUAAAAACUGGGAUUAGAUACCCCAUUAUUUCUAGUUUUAAAUUUUGUUUGCCUGGGUACUAUAAGUGAUCUUUAAAUUCAAAAAACUUGGCGGUGUUUUAUGUCCUUUCAGGGGAGUCUGUUCUGUAAUUGAUAAUCCACGAGAAAGAAAACUUUUUUUAUUUGUUUGUAUACUUCUGUUGUCAGUUUACUUUUUUUGAAAAUGAAUGUGAACAAAAGAAAAAGUAUUUUUUACAUCAAGUCAAAGUGCAGCUUAUAAAAAAGAGGUAAUGGACUACAUUGCUGAAGUUUUCGGACUUUCAAUUGGAAAUAAUUGAAGUAAAGUUGAACUUGAAAGUAAUUUAUUUUUAGUAUGUUUUUUUGAAGAAGGUUUUAAAACGCGUACAAAUCGCCCGUCGCUCUUGUUGUAUUUAAAUAAGAUAAGUCGUAACAUAGUAGCUGUAAUGGAAGUUGCUGCUAGUU
rnacentral:ncRNA from 1 species